GGACCCGUAGCUCAGUUUGGUUAGAGCGUUUCCUUGACAUGGAAAAGGCCACAAGUUCAAGUCUUGUCGGGUCCA
rnacentral:tRNA from 1 species